rnacentral:tRNA from 1 species
UGGUGUGUGGCGCAGCGGUAGCGCAGCGGACUGUUAAUCCGUUGGUCGUAGGUUCGAAUCCUACCAUACCAGCCA